UUUUCGGAUCGUAAAGCUCUGUUGUUAGGGAAGAACAAGUGCAAGAGUAUCUGCUUGCACCUUGACGGUACCUAACCAGAAAGCCACGGCUAACUACGUGCCAGCAGCCGCGGUAAUACGUAGGUGGCAAGCGUUGUCCGGAAUUAUUGGGCGUAAAGGGCUCGCAGGCGGUUUCUUAAGUCUGAUGUGAAAGCCCCCGGCUCAACCGGGGAGGGUCAUUGGAAACUGGGAAACUUGAGUGCAGAAGAGGAGAGUGGAAUUCCACGUGUAGCGGUGAAAUGCGUAGAGAUGUGGAGGAACACCAGUGGCGAAGGCGACUCUCUGGUCUGUAACUGACGCUGAGGAGCGAAAGCGUGGGGAGCGAACAGGAUUAGAUACCCUGGUAGUCCACGCCGUAAACGAUGAGUGCUAAGUGUUAGGGGGUUUCCGCCCCUUAGUGCUGCAGCUAACGCAUUAAGCACUCCGCCUGGGGAGUACGGUCGCAAGACUGAAACUCAAAGGAAUUGACGGGGGCCCGCACAAGCGGUGGAGCAUGUGGUUUAAUUCGAAGCAACGCGAAGAACCUUACCAGGUCUUGACAUCCUCUGACAACCCUAGAGAUAGGGCUUUCCCUUCGGGGACAGAGUGACAGGUGGUGCAUGGUUGUCGUCAGCUCGUGUCGUGAGAUGUUGGGUUAAGUCCCGCAACGAGCGCAACCCUUGAUCUUAGUUGCCAGCAUUCAGUUGGGCACUCUAAGGUGACUGCCGGUGACAAACCGGAGGAAGGUGGGGAUGACGUCAAAUCAUCAUGCCCCUUAUGACCUGGGCUACACACGUGCUACAAUGGACAGAACAAAGGGCUGCGAGACCGCAAGGUUUAGCCAAUCCCACAAAUCUGUUCUCAGUUCGGAUCGCAGUCUGCAACUCGACUG
rnacentral:rRNA from 1 species